rnacentral:rRNA from 1 species
GACGAACGCUGGCGGCGUGCUUAACACAUGCAAGUCGAACGGAAAGGCCCUGCUUUUGUGUGGUGCUCGAGUGGCGAACGGGUGAGUAACACGUGAGUAACCUGCCCUUGACUUUGGGAUAACUUCAGGAAACUGGGGCUAAUACCGGAGAGGAGCGCCUGCUGCAUGGUGGGGGUUGGAAAGUUUCGGCGGUGGGGGAUGGACUCGCGGGUUAUCAGCUUGUUGGUGGGGUAGUGGCUUACCAAGGGUUUGACGGGUAGCCGGCCUGAGAGGGUGACCGGCCACAUUGGGACUGAGAUACGGCGCAGACUCCUACGGGAGGCAGCAGUGGGGAAUAUUGCACAAUGGGCGGAAGCCUGAUGAAGCAACGCCGCGUGCGGGAUGACGGCCUUCGGGUUGUAAACCGCUUUCGCCUGUGACGAAGCGUGAGUGACGGUAAUGGGUAAAGAAGCACCGGCUAACUACGUG